AUCAAUCAAAACUUCUUUUUUUCUUAAACUCUUGGAUUUUAAACCAAGUGGUUUCAUUACACUCUUUUCCUAAAAACCUUGGACUUCAAACCAAGAGAUUUUUUAUCAUUCAAACAUUUUCAACAUAAAAGCACUUGGAUUUCAAACCAAAGUUGCAUUUUCAAACUCAAUCAAUCAAGCUUCUUUUUUUUCUUAAACUCUUGGAUUUUAAACCAAGUGGUUUCAUCACACUCUUUUCCUAAAAACCUUGGACUUCAAACCAAGAGACUUUUAUCAUUCAAAUCAUUUUCACAAUAAGCCUUGGAUUUUAAACCAAGUGGCUUCUCAUAUUUGGAUUUUAAACCAAAUAUUUUCUUUUUUCAAGUACCAAGAAGCCUUGGAUUUUAAACCAAGUGGCUUCUCAUAUUUGGAUUUUAAACCAAAUAUUUUCUUUUUUCAAGUACCAAGAAGUCU
rnacentral:lncRNA from 1 species